UGCCAUUAUCAUUUGUUAUAUACAUGUAAUUAUUACACAUAAUUAUGUAUGUGAAAGUAAAUGCCAGAGAUUACCAGUGGGCACUGCACCGGCAUCCUUGCCAAGGUGUGUGGGGUGGGCUUGUGGCCCCCAGAAGGGAUGGGGUCUCCGGCGGAAGGUGCAGUGCUGGGGGGCCAGAUUCCACUAGCCAGCCCUUCCUGACAACUGCUGCUACAGUGGCCAGGAGCACCAGGCUCUUGUAAAUUGCCAGAACACAGGGCUCCUUUUGCUCCCACCCAUCAGCGGCCCUGCCAGUAGCAUGCAACAGCGUUGCUGGACCCUAAGGCAGGGCCGCUGAUGCGGGGGACGGGGGGGAGGGAAUGUGAUAAAGUGGACAGCGAUGUUAAAGCAUAAAGCACUGCCACAGCGGAAGUGUAACGUCAGUCGUGUAUGGGCCGGUACCGGUGGCCGGUUCUUAUCAGUAUGCUGGACCGGCCCACUUUCACCUCUGGUAAUUAUGAUGUUUAUUCUAAAUAUCAGUGUUGUUAGUUUUCAGAAACGUAUUUGCAGCACAAAGACAUCAGUACGGUAGAAACAACAAAAGAGGCUAAUACUGCGUUUAGAAGACAUAUAGCAAUUCUUCUAAUGAAGGAGUCAGGUAAGUACUUUCUACCAUGUACUGUGGACUCAUUAGGUACAUGUGAAGAUAACAGGAAGAGUGGAAUUAUGUCACGUAGCAGUAUUAUCUUAAUACCCCUAAAGUGGCAUAUCUCAAAGGUUUGGUUCUGUAAUGGUGACUAUGAAUCAAUAAUAUCUUUAAGUACACAAAAAUUUGAAUGGGGUGAAUGGUUGCUAUUGAUCGACCAGUUGAAUGAAAUUGGUAUUCUUAUAUACAGAUGCAAUAAAGUAAAAAUUUGAGAAAAUAUGACUCACAAAAAAGAAAAAGAUAUGUUCAAACCAGUGACUGGAUUAAAAUUUGAUAUUAAUUAAUAAAUCAAGAUUUGCAUUUUCAGUGUUGGUCGUAACGUAUUCAUCAUUUCAUAGCACUAUAUUUAUUGAUAAGAAAGCAUGGAGGACUACUGCAUAUACUGCAACCUUGUAAACUGUGAAAAGGAAAGUAAGGCUUGCACGAUGGUCCAGUGUGAUUCUUGCAAGAGGUGGGCACAUAUGCCCUGCAUUACAGAAGGAACCUAUCAAAACUACCUGACUGAUGAGAAGAAAGAGUACAACUGCAAAAAAUGUGCAUAGUUCCCUUCUUUACCAAAAAAAAAAAAACCAACAACCCAUUAUGUUUAAAUGUCUCUUGUUCAAAACAUAAUGCAACCAAAAGAAAUUUUUUUCUUUAUAUACCAGAUUAUAAUAAUAAAUGUUUUUCAUUUGAAAAAAA